AACCACAUCGCUUUGAAUUCCUCAUUAUAUCGGAGGAUGCAUAGGAGCAAGACUCACAAUCUUGUCAAGCACCCUAAUAAAAACUUUUUUGUGACCCCUUUUCUUUUCUUUUUACACAUUUUAUCACUUGAAGAAAACAAUUAACAAAUAGCUAACAUUCAAUCGCAAGUCUAACUAAAAGGUUCUCGUUGAGUAUAACA
rnacentral:lncRNA from 1 species